UUGAGAAGCAUCGCGUAGUGCUGGAUCGCAAAUUCCGCCACACUUACGAUUUGCUCAUCAAAGCUACUAAUGACCACCAGUAUCUAACUACUCAGGUAGAUUUUAAUCAGAAUUUGAAUAGCCUUUUUAAAUUAGCAUCAGGUAAAUUUGAAAUACUUUUGCAGAUGUCUGAUGCUGAGGGAGAAACGCCAAGCGAUGGAUCAUGACCCUAGUAUCGCCCAGGUCCAUAUAGACGUAGUGGAUAUUAACGACAAUCCGCCUCAUUUCGAAAUUGAGACCUUUUACGCUGGAGUGGAUUACAGUUCAACCAGUGAUAAGCUGCUGUUGCAAAUUCAUGCCUCCGAUCCUGAUUUCGGCAUCAAUGGCUCGCUCUCCUACUUUAUCCGAUCGUCCAACUUGUUUCACAUGGGCUCACAGAUUUCUUCGGGUUCAGUAGUGCCGUAACCACGUCAAUGAACAUCCGCCAACUUUUAGCAAGCCCCUGAAUUCUGAAGAACCUUUUAUUAAUCUGCUUGUGGCCGAAGAACAACCAAUUGGCAGCAUUGUUUGUAAAAUUUCGGCAACACAUCCCGAUUCGCCUAUCGAUCGAUACGAAUUUCUGCCGCCUCAUCCAUUUUUUUCCAUCGAUGGCCGAUCAGGAGUUGUGACUAACAAGCCACGGCUGGACUAUGAAGCUUCACCGGAAUACAAUUUGACGGUUGUUGCUCACGAUGCUGGAAUUCCUUCCCUGUCGUCCAUGGCUCAGGUUAAAGUGACGUUGAUAAACAUCAAUGAUCUGAGUCCUGCUUCACUUCGAAAUCCUACGA